UUACGGGAGGCAGCAGUGGGGAAUUGUUCGCAAUGGGCGCAAGCCUGACGACGCAACGCCGCGUGGAGGAUGAAGGUCUUCGGAUUGUAAACUCCUGUUGCCCGGGACGAAUGGCCUCGACCUAACACGUCGAGGUGUGACGGUACCGGGUGAGGAAGCCCCGGCUAACUCUGUGCCAGCAGCCGCGGUAAUACAGAGGGGGCAAGCGUUGUUCGGAAUUACUGGGCGUAAAGGGCGCGUAGGCGGCCUGCUAAGUCGAACGUGAAAUCCCCGAGCUCAACUCGGGAACUGCGUCCGAUACUGGUUGGCUUGAAUCCGGGAGAGGGAUGCGGAAUUCCAGGUGUAGCGGUGAAAUGCGUAGAUAUCUGGAGGAACACCGGUGGCGAAGGCGGCAUCCUGGACCGGCAUUGACGCUGAGGCGCGAAAGCCAGGGGAGCAAACGGGAUUAGAUACCCCGGU
rnacentral:rRNA from 1 species